AGCUCCAAUAGCGUAUAUUAAAGUUGUUGCAGUUAAAAAGCUCGUAGUUGGAUUUCUGGCCGGGGCGACCGGUCGGCGCCCUAGCGGCGUGUGCACUGUCGUCGGCCCUGGCCAUCUGCGUUCUUAGGGCCGCUGGCAUUAAGUUGUCGGCGGUCUGAGGGGCGCCGUUUACUGUGAAAAAUUAGAGUGUUUAAAGCAGGCGAUCGCUGUGAAUACAUUAGCAUGGAAUAAUGAGAUAGGACUUUGGUACUAUUUUGUUGGUUUGCGCACCAAGGUAAUGAUUAAUAGGGAUAGUUGGGGGUAUUCAUAUUCAAUUGUCAGAGGUGAAAUUCUUGGAUUUAUGGAAGAUGAACUUAUGCGAAAGCAUUUACCAAGGAUGUUUUCA
rnacentral:rRNA from 1 species